UGCCCCAUGGUGUAACUGGAAGCGCGAGGGACACAAUCCUGUCGGUCCGGGUUCGAUCCCCGGUGGGGCAA
rnacentral:tRNA from 1 species